GUGUGUGUGUGUGUGUGUGUGUGUGUGUGUGUCUUGUUGGGCAGUGUUGAUGAGCUGUGAGUGUGUGAAAUGAUUUUAGGAUCCAGCAGCCCUGCUCCUGAUUGGCAUCAGUUUUAUCACUGUGAAGAACUCAAUUUUUUUUUCCUUUUAAAAAAACAAACUCUUUCCUCCCUUUCUUUUAAACCCUGAUCAUUCAGAAAACGUUUACUUUGUAGGCUGAGCAAUAGGAAAUGCAACAAUAAACAUAUUCAGACAUUUAUUUUAAAAACCAGCAUUAUUGAGCCUCAUUGCAGUCUUGCAAUUACAGUAUGUGCACCCAUAAGUUCCUAGGGUACAUGUUAAUGACUUUAAAUAAAGAACAACAGUGCCCAUCAAAUUUUUUCUACCUGGAGAUCGAGACAUACAGGGCUAUUCAACAUCGGACCAAAUAUGACAUUCCCGUUGGUUGAGCUGAGCCAUGUGACUUUGAUAAUGACAUUAUGGAACAUCAUUACAUUUUAAAGUUCAUUGUAACAGCUGAGUUAGAUAAAUCAACCUUUUCUUUUUUCCAUCACAAGAACCAGCAGUUUAUGUUGAUGUUAAUGUUCUGCCAUCCUUUCAAGUGACGUGGCUCUUAGAUGAUAUAUUUAAUGUUACAGGUUUACAGAUUUUAAUUUUAGAUUUUAAAACACAGCAAUUUUCUUCCAUGAUGAAGAUGAAUAUUAUUUGGAUAAGUUUCACUUCUAUGUAUUUUCUUUCCUUUUUUCCUUUCUGCUGUCUAACAUAUGAAGACAUUUCAUGCAUUUUUGGGAGCUGAUUUUAUUUUUCCUUAAAUAAUGUCCUAUUACAAUCUUAUAUAAUAUAAUAUCUGAACUGGAGUAACACUUGAUGUUAUGCUUGUUCAUUGUAUUUAUGAACUUGUGCCCCAGCAGGGGGAGGUCUGUUUCUUUUCUCUGUGUGAGUAAGUUUAGAAUAUUUUUAAUUUUCCUGCCCUUAAAUACAGCUCAAUGACAUAUGAUGUCCAUGUUUAAUACCUUGAACGAGCCCUCAGCUUUAUCUUUUUCGAAAGUAAUAUUUAAACAAAUGUCUUAAUAGCUUUGUAUCAUCCUUUUAUUUCAUGUAGUUGACAUGCUGAACUAUUUUAGAGAAAAAUUAAACAUUCAUUUCAUAGAUAUUUUACUAUUUUAAUGGGGAAACAUGUUUACAUCAAAUUUAGGUAUAGAACGUUAUCCUUAUAUCCUUUCUUUUUAAGUGUUCGUAGGUUGAAUGUUUUGGUUAGCCUGAUUUCCUUUUGAUGGACAAACUACAGUAUGUCAAAACUUUACUGUGGAGUUGACACUUAACACUUAAAUGAGCCACAGUUAAGCUUUAUUAAACAUGAAAUAUAAAUGCUGGGUUUAUAAAAGUGGAAAACACAUUGCUCUUUUUAAUUGUGUUACUUUAAGAGGAAAUUAUAGCUUCAAAAGAUUUAGCUCAAUAGAAAAUACUCCUGGAUCCACAUUCAUGGAGGUAAAGUAGAAAAAAAGUGCACCGACUGAAAUUGCUGGAAUUUUAAGGCUGAAAGAAGAUGAGGAGGAGGAAUUAGUUUUAGUUGUUUGACUUGGUUUGGUCACCUUUGUUAACCAGAAUGUUGCUCAUUGCUGCUCCAUGAAGAGUCAGUUCCUCAGUAUGAGGAUUGAUAAUGUAAUGUGCAUAGUAGUGUAUUUUCUUCGCUGUAACUGGUUUUGAUAUGUUUUGAUGUGCAAAUCAUAUUGAAUAAAAUGUUUCCAAUAAA